rnacentral:rRNA from 1 species
UACGUAGGGUGCAAGCGUUGUCCGGAAUUAUUGGGCGUAAAGAGCUCGUAGGCGGUUUGUCGCGUCUGCUGUGAAAACCCGAGGCUCAACCUCGGGCCUGCAGUGGGUACGGGCAGACUAGAGUGCGGUAGGGGAGAUUGGAAUUCCUGGUGUAGCGGUGGAAUGCGCAGAUAUCAGGAGGAACACCGGUGGCGAAGGCGGGUCGCUGGGCAGUGACUGACGCUGAGGAGCGAAAGCGUGGGGAGCGAACAGG